UACGUAGGGUGCGAGCGUUGUCCGGAAUUAUUGGGCGUAAAGAGCUUGUAGGCGGUCUGUCGCGUCUGCUGUGAAAAUCCGGGGCUCAACCCCGGACUUGCAGUGGGUACGGGCAGACUAGAGUGUGGUAGGGGAGACUGGAAUUCCUGGUGUAGCGGUGAAAUGCGCAGAUAUCAGGAGGAACACCGAUGGCGAAGGCAGGUCUCUGGGCCGCAACUGACGCUGAGGUGCGAAAGCGUGGGGAGCGAACAGG
rnacentral:rRNA from 1 species